AUUCCAGCGUUGCUAAUUAAAAUGAGCAGUUUCAAAUAAUCGCAAACAUCAAUAUGAUUAGAGAUGGAAAUAAGAAAAAUGAGGGUAAAAUACUGACGGGAGAACAGGCUAAAUCCCAGAGGAAGAGCAAAAAGAAGACAAUGAUGCAACAUUGUCCACAUCAACUGCAAUUACAGACAAUCAACAACCGUCCCUCCAGUAAACCCUCAUUUUGUAGUUCACUGUGUUUUCUCCAUAGAGUGAUUGGAUCAUGCAGUUUAGCAAAUCCUGUUCGUCCGGCAAGUUGACACAGUCUGUCAUAGACCACAUGAAAUCUCAUCACAAAAGGGUUUACUCAGCUAAAGCUGUUGUUGAUACCUCAGUACCCAAAAGCAUGAUACAAAUAUACAAUGGACAGAGAAACAGGGAUCGUUUUUCACAAAAGAGCACCACAACCUUUUGCUCCUUGGCACAAAGUCAACUGUCCGUGCAGAAUGAUGAUGAACCCUAUCUUUGCUUGCGGUGCCCCCUGGAUUCCAGCCCAGGACUCAGCCCCUCUUUUCUCCCAAAGCACAUUGUUUAUGAGUCCAGUAAACUGGACCAUAGCCGCCACACUUCUCCAAGGUCAUCUCUGCACAGAAAACAGUUGACAUGUUCACCUUCGGGUUCAGGAGGACAGGGCUGCAGCAAGACUUUCCGCGGUCCUGUCCAGAAUAAGGCCACCAAAGACAUGUUUCAAAAAUACUCUGAUAAUUUCACAACAAAAAAGCCUUUCACACCACGGAUCCUGAAGUCGAACCAAAGUUCAACCCUUGGAAACUAUCGCUACUACAGGGGGCCACGAAGAAGGCUUCCUCCAGACUGCAGUGACUCCAAUGUGAUGCAUCAUGGGAAUAAUGACACAAGCACCAAAAACAAAGAAUGCGUACAGGAAGUGGAUGAGACGUCUCAGGCAAUUUUCUGUUUCAUCACUUUUAUCUUUAGUUUUGAAAACAACAAAUUUGUAUUUCAUCUUCAGAGAAACUUGACAAGUGUUACUGUAACGUAUUAAUUUUAUUUAUUUUUUGCUUGUUUUAAAGGGAUUUAUAACUGAACAUGAAUGGUCUGAGGAUGAGGUGAAUGAAAUCUAUUUAUCACCACCCAGACAACAAAGUCAAGGAAACACAACUUGUAACCCUACAUCCAGGCAAUCAGCAGAAGCCAGUAAAUCUCCUGCAUUGGAAACAAUAUUUGCAGAGCAACAAGAAGAGUUAAAGUAUCUGGAAUUUAUAUCUGCUGUAACAGAAGAUAUUUUAUCCAGGACUCAUAUUUCUGACAGGUCGCUAGAUUUAGUGAUGAAACGCCAUUUUGACAUGAACCAGCAUCAGCUGGAUGAGGGGAAAAUGCGCCAUCUGCUGGCCGUCCUGCGUGAAGAUUUUAAAGAUUCAACCAACAACCAGUCAAACCAUUGACUCUCCACACAUCGAGUCUGAACUGAAGAGCAGUGAUCUGCAUAGAGCAGUAAUCAUGUUGAUGACUGAAUGCAUGAUCACAUUGUUUUACAAAGUGACUGUGUGUGUGUGUGUGUGUGUGUGUGUGUGUGUGAGAGAGAGAGAGAGAGAGAGAGCGGUACUUAGCUUUCUUUAAUAGUACAAAACCAUAUAGACUGUGUAUUAAGUUUAUUGUUUACUAUAAUUUGGCCAUCGGUGUGAAUUGAUGUGUAAAUGGUUAAUGGUGGUUAUGGAUAAUCAACAAACAAUUAAAUUUACAGAAUUU